CACACGCCAUUUGUAAGCAAUGCAGUUGUGACAUAAAAACCGGAAGUAACGUUACCCGCCUGAACUAGCAUCUCAUCCUGCUAACUUCUUCAGCAACAUUAGCUGUUCUAUUUCAACAAUAUCAGUCUGAAAAAUGGCUGAAGUUCAACUAUACUAUUCUGUCGGGAGAUGCAGUGUCUUUAACCAGUGACUGUUUACCUGCCAUGCAAACGGGAUACCACUCAGACUGCAAACAGACUUCAAAUGGACACCAGAACACCACUGAUACCAAAAUCUUGUCCCAUCGCCUGCACCAAGCUUGUUUUUCCCAGGAUCUGCUGUGGAUCCUUCCUUGGCCGAUGCUACACCCUUCAACUAAGUUUCAUGGAAAUCAAGCCAUCAGUUUUUCCGUAAUCCUGCCGACAAACCAACAAAAGUAAGAGGUACAAGAGAUGCAUUUCUUCUGGACCUGACAGUGCAACAUAUACAACUACAACUGUUCUGGUCUGGUGUUAAAUGCCAAAGGAAGAAGAGCAGUAAAUAUCAUUCUACAGCUUCAAUGACGGUGCAGAGAUGCCAAGAUUCGGAAGACCUGGAAUUGCUGACCAAUCGGAGCAGACUGGGCUUUUACAAGAGGAGGGCUUUAAGAGACUAAAACAGAGCAUUUCAGACAGAAGUCGAAGUCGUCGAAAUCCCGCACUUGGACACUGAUGUGUGGCAUCAGAAACCAACGAAAAAAGCCAUCCUUUAACAUCGGCAUCACCUGGACGAGGAUGAAAGUUAAGGUGCAGAGCAACUCAAGACAAAGACAGACUGAUCAUACAGAGAGUUUAAAAUAGACACUGACAAUAAACUAAAUAAAACGUGUUAAUACCAGAGAAGACUUUCAGAGAUGGAGAGAAAGUGUUGCUAAUAGUUUAGCCUUCUGCUAACAGGAGCUAAAGGUUGACUACUGCAGCUUCACAUUUAUGUAGCUAACGUUAGCUAGAGCCUCAGGUCACAGUGUGUCCUCCACCUCACUCCCUGCCGAUACACUUCACCUCACUGGGAGGACAGUAG